GCAGACACAUUCCAGCCAAUCAGCAGCAAACCCUCCCUCCCAGACCCUCCCACCUCCUGGACAGCUCACUUAAAAAUGCAGCUUCACAAUGAAUGUAAAAUGGAUGCUGUCCAGGAGGUGGGAGGGUCUGGGAGGGAGGGUCUGCUGCUGAUUGGCUGGAAUGUGUCUG